rnacentral:tRNA from 1 species
UGCGGGAUGGAGCAGCCUGGUAGCUCGUCGGGCUCAUAACCCGAAGGUCGUCGGUUCAAAUCCGGCUCCCGCUUCCA